AGCUUUGCGCAGUGGCAGUAUCGUAGCCAAUGAGGUUUAUCCGAGGCGCGAUUAUUGCUAAUUGAAAACUUUUCCCAAAUCAUUUGUAUACUUCAGUGUACAUGGGAGGUACCCAGGAAAACUGAGUAACUCCAAAAUGGC